rnacentral:rRNA from 1 species
AAUCAACGCUGGCGGCAGGCCUAACACAUGCAAGUCGAACGAAGUCUUCGGACUUAGUGGCGGACGGGUGAGUAACACGUGGGAACGUGCCUUUAGGUUCGGAAUAACUCAGGGAAACUUGUGCUAAUACCGAAUGUGCCCUUCGGGGGAAAGAUUUAUCGCCUUUAGAGCGGCCCGCGUCUGAUUAGCUAGUUGGUGAGGUAAAGGCUCACCAAGGCUACGAUCAGUAGCUGGUCUGAGAGGAUGACCAGCCACAUUGGGACUGAGACACGGCCCAAACUCCUACGGGAGGCAGCAGUGGGGAAUCUUGCGCAAUGGGCGAAAGCCUGACGCAGCCAUGCCGCGUGGAUGAUGAAGGUCUUAGGAUUGUAAAAUCCUUUCACCGGUGAAGAUAAUGACUGUAGCCGGAGAAGAAGCCCCGGCUAACUUCGUGCCAGCCGCCGCGGUAA